UCGCGGCUUGCGCCGGCAGUUUCACUAGAGUCCCCACCAUAACGUGCUGGUAACUAACCACAGGGGUUGCGCUCGCUGCGCCACUUAAGGCAACACCUCACGGCACGAGCUGACGACAGCCAUGCAGCACCUUCGCGGGCGCCCCGAAGGGAAGCCCCGUUUCGGGGGCGGUCGCCCGUGAUUUAGCCCGGGUAAGGUUCUUCGCGUUGCAUCGAAUUAAGCCACAUGCUCCACCGCUUGUGCGGGCCCCCGUCAAUUCCUUUGAGUUUCAUUCUUGCGAACGUACUCCCCAGGUGGUAUGCUUACUGCGUUAACUGCGUCACUGAACCCGAAGGCCCAACAACUAGCAUACAUCGUUUACAGCGUGGACUAC
rnacentral:misc_RNA from 1 species